UGCAGUAGUGAACCCUUUCACAACAGCACUAUUUUGUCACUUUGCACCCAGAUUUCCGUUGGCUAACCUCAGCCUUAUCUUCCUCAUUUCUAUUUCCUCUUGAACACACCAAGGUCCCUUCAAAACACACGACCUUCCUGCUCACAGCACAAAGCCCAGUUCCCUCUGGCCCCUGCAGGUUGGCUUAUCACCAAGGAACCUGUGCCUCCUCUGAGACCAAGGCACCACUCCAGAACAGGGCUGCAUCUCCCAGGAAGAUCUCGCCUCUCCACUGAAGCCCCUGGUCCAGCCUCCUGCAGUGCCACGCUCCGUGUAUUUGACAAGCUGAGUUGGACACUCCAUGUGGUAGAGUGUCAGUUUGUCAAAUACCCCAAGUGCGGCACAUGCCUAGCAGCUCCAGGCCAGGGCAGUUGGGAUACAACAGAUAGACUGCCAGCUAGAUACAAGAACACUCGCCAAACACCAACUAAACUCUCACAAGUUAUUUUCAGUGACUUUGAGGGAACUGAAGCAUUGUAUGUGAGCAUGCCAGGGGAAAGUGAGGCAGCUCUGGGAGCUACAGCCCUGGGCUGUGUCUACACAUAUUGUGUGAACCCAAGCGGGGCACACUAGUCUU